rnacentral:rRNA from 1 species
GUGCCAGCCGCCGCGGUAAUACCGGCAGCCCGAGUGAUGGCCGAUAUUAUUGGGCCUAAAGCGUCCGUAGCUGGCCAGACAAGUCCGUUGGGAAAUCCACGCGCUCAACGCGUGGGCGUCCAGCGGAAACUGUGUGGCUUGGAACCGGAAGGCUCAGAGAGUACGUCCGGGGUAGGAGUGUAAUCCCGUAAUCCCGGACGGACUACCGAUGGCGAAAGCACUCUGAGAAGACGGCUUCGACAGUGAGGGACGAAAGCUCGGGUCUCAAACCGGAUUAGAUACCCGAGUAGUCC